rnacentral:rRNA from 1 species
UACGAGUGCCCCGAGCGUUAUCCGGAAUCAUUGGGCGUAAAGGGUGUGUAGGUGGUAGUGUUAGUCAAUUAUUAAAACCCGGGGCUUAACCUCGGAUCUGUGUUUGAAACGGCACAACUAGAGGAUGGCAGGGAUGUAUGGAACUCAUGGAGUAGGGGUGAAAUCCGUUGAUAUCAUGGGGAACACCAAAAGCGAAGGCAGUACAUUGGGCUACUUUUGACACUGAAACACGAAAGCGUGGGUAGCGAAUGGG